UACGGGGGGAGCAAGCGUUGUUCGGAUUUACUGGGCGUAAAGGGCGCGUAGGCGGUCGUGACAAGUCACUUGUGAAAUCUCCGGGCUUAACUCGGAACGGUCAAGUGAUACUGUCGGACUAGAGUACAGAAGGGGCAACUGGAAUUCUCGGUGUAGCGGUGAAAUGCGUAGAUAUCGAGAGGAACACCUGCGGCGAAGGCGGGUUGCUGGGCUGACACUGACGCUGAGGCGCGAAGCCAGGGGAGCGAACGGG
rnacentral:rRNA from 1 species